CGUACAAUUUUUGAAUAUAAAAUAUCUAUCAACCCCAUAAUACAUAACCAUAACUAUAGCCAGCUCGAAGUAUUAAAUCAAGUUAAUGCAUGAUUGAAAAUAUCAAAGAAACAAAAAAUUAGAUAUGCAUAAUAUAGUUAAAAUAAUUAAUAAAACAUAAGCAUUUGCUGGAAAUACUUGAAAAAACUUUUCAUAGUACUCACGAAGGCAAUUGACAAAGGCAUACAUCAGUCCUUUUAAUAGACCAGUGACUAUAGCUCCACACAUAGAUACACUUUAUACAUAAAUAUACAUAUAUGUAUAUGUGUAUGUAUAUACGUAUAUAUAGAUGCAUGCAUACAUACAUUUAUAGAAUAGCAAAGGCAUAUUUUCAAUUAGCUAUUGUUAAACAAUACACCUUGUCAUUUCAAUUCCCAUUUGUAUUCUUUAAAAGAAAUCAAGCACUUCUUUUCAUCGGUUAUUGUUGAGCAAAUACCUAGUAUUUGCAUUCCUUAAUUGACAAUUCAAUUGGACCAUAAAUGUUGAUAUUUUAUAUUUUGAAGGUGGUUAAUAAAAAAUUAUAUGAAAGAUAUUUGCAAAUAUGAAAGGCAAAACUUAUAUCAAGCUUUCAUACUGUUAACUCGAGCUUGUGACAUCUAUCUAAACAGUUACAACAUAGUUAUUAACAAUCAACAAUGGCAUACAACGAGUGAGCUAUGUUUCAUACUCACAAGCCGAUAAUUAAUUCUGUCAAAUUUUAAAAUCAUAAAACAUAAUAUGCUAUUUCUAAAUUAAGUGUCCGAGCCUUUCCACGUGUUUCUUACCUCUCCUUUCUACUUUUGCUCUCUCAAUUUUGUAUGCAACCAAACAACCACAUAAACCCAAAGAAAAAAAAAAAGAUACAUCCAUAAAUUAGUCAAGCAAGACAAUUGGAUUCAUAUGAAAUAGACAGCAAUAGAGAUUCUCAAAUGUCACUGCCUAAAGAAAAGAAAAAAUGUAACUUCUAUUUGCCUCUUAAAAAUAAAAAGAAAGAAGCUGCAAACGUUAAGCAUGAUGUAAAGUUAUUCUUAUGCUUUGUUACAUUAAGCCAAUUUCUACGAGACUAAAAAUCAGAAAUAUACCUGAAAUAAUAAAAAAAAAAUGAAGGAUUGAUUCCUUUCUCAUUGUCUUGCACCUGUAAAAAAAAUGAAAGCACACUUGUGCCGUUGUCAUUACUUAAGGCAAAAUCAACUACAAAUUUUGCCAUUGCUAAAACUAUUAAAUUGCAAGAUCGAAUUAAAAAAUAUUAAAGGUUAAAGAACAAAUACUUAUAUUAUGAACUCUUUUUUUUUUUUGUGUAAUAUAACAUAAUGUUAUAUAAAACAGGAAAAAAAAAUUUUGCUAAGAAUGUUCUGUACAUUAUGGAAACAUAUUAAAUUAAUAUUUUAUCAUGCUCAUCAAUCUUAUAGGACAUUUAAAUUACUAAUAGAGGAUAAUUUAUAAUUUUAUCAUGCUUUAUUCAAAAUUCUACCAAUCCAUUAUAUUGAUAAAAGGAAAAUAAAUAAUCGAUAACUUAACUUGUAGUGAAUUUGUUCGUUGCAAGAAAAAUAACUUCAUGGUUCUAAUUCAAACAACGUAAGGUAAAGAACAAAAAAGGAAAAUAUAUUGAGACUUAUAGAUCAUUAACAAGAAUGAAACAUUUAUAACAUAAAACCUCGAUCUUUAAUUGACAAAUCUAAUUAUCAAGAAUAAUAAACUGAAAGAACACUUGAUAAGAUACUUAAAUUGGAAUAGAGGAAUAGAAGAAGACUAUCGGUGGCUUUACUUGAAAAGCUGCGUGGUGGAUCUUGGCCAUGGGGAGCCAACGGCAACGGAAGGUCGCUGUUGGUUCAGUCAUGAGAGUGAUAAGGCAAAUCUUAGACUUAACCCAUAAUAAAACCCAAGAGAAUGAAUCUCUUUUUCUCGCUGCCUUUUCGUUCGUUCUUUCAUCGCCGAUCGCAGCUUUCGUCUACGGUGAUUCUUUCCCCCUUACGAUGCCCUCUCUUAUGGUUCCUACUCUUUUUUUUUUUUAAUGCCGUUUGCCUAGAGAAGCUUUCGAGAUGCUUGAGUUGAAAGUUUCAGUUUUAACUUUUGGUCCAAUUGUAAUGAGAAAAAUCCAGAAGCUUCUUUGAGC
rnacentral:lncRNA from 1 species